rnacentral:rRNA from 1 species
UACAGAGGUCCCAAGCGUUGUUCGGAUUCACUGGGCGUAAAGGGUGCGUAGGUGGUGAGGUAAGUCGGAUGUGAAAGCUCGGAGCUCAACUCCGAAAUGGCAUUGGAAACUACCUUGCUCGAGGGUUGGAGGGGGGACUGGAAUGCUUGGUGUAGCAGUGAAAUGCGUAGAUAUCAAGCGGAACACCAGUGGCGAAGGCGAGUCCCUGGACAACUCCUGACACUGAGGCACGAAAGCUAGGGGAGCAAACAGGA